CCUCCACACUGCCAAGAAAAGCCUCUAGCGAGGCGGGAGGUGCCCGUACCGCAAACCGACACAGGUAGGCGAGGAGAGAAUCCUAAGGUGAUCGAGAGAACUCUCGUUAAGGAACUCGGCAAAAUGACCCCGUAACUUCGGGAGAAGGGGUGCUCUGGUAGGGUGUAUAGCCCGAGAGAGCCGCAGUGAAUAGGCCCAGGCGACUGUUUAGCAAAAACACAGGUCUCUGCGAAGCCGCAAGGCGAAGUAUAGGGGCUGACGCCUGCCCGGUGCUGGAAGGUUAAGAGGAGGGGUUAUCCUUUGGGAGAAGCUCUGAAUCGAAGCCCCAGUAAACGGCGGCCGUAACGAUAACGGUCCUAAGGUAGCGAAAUUCCUUGUCGGGUAAGUUCCGACCCGCACGAAAGGCGUAACGAUCUGGGCACUGUCUCAACGAGAGACUCGGUGAAAUUAUAGUACCUGUGAAGAUGCAGGUUACCCGCGACAGGACGGAAAGACCCCGUGGAGCUUUACUGUAGCCUGAUAUUGAAUUUUGGUACAGCUUGUACAGGAUAGGUAGGAGCCUGAGAAGCCGGAGCGCUAGCUUCGGUGGAGGCGUCGGUGGGAUACUACCCUGGCUGUAUUGAAAUUCUAACCCGCGGCCCUGAUCGGGCCGGGAGACAGUGUCAGGUGGGCAGUUUGACUGGGGCGGUCGCCUCCUAAAAUGUAACGGAGGCGCCCAAAGGUUCCCUCAGAAUGGUUGGAAAUCAUUCGUAGAGUGUAAAGGCACAAGGGAGCUUGACUGCGAGACCUACAAGUCGAGCAGGGACGAAAGUCGGGCUUAGUGGUCCGGUGGUUCCGCAUGGAAGGGCCAUCGCUCAACGGAUAAAAGCUACCCCGGGGAUAACAGGCUUAUCUCCCCCAAGAGUCCACAUCGACGGGGAGGUUUGGCACCUCGAUGUCGGCUCAUCGCAUCCUGGGGCUGUAGUCGGUCCCAAGGGUUGGGCUGUUCCCCCAUUAAAGCGGUACGCGAGCUGGGUUCAGAACGUCGUGAGACAGUUCGGUCCCUAUCCGUCGUGGGCGUAGGAAAUUUGAGAGGAGCUGUCCUUAGUACGAGAGGACCGGGAUGGACACACCGCUGGUGUACCAGUUGUCUUGCCAAAGGCAUCGCUGGGUAGCUAUGUGUGGACGGGAUAAGUGCUGAAAGCAUCUAAGCAUGAAGCCCCCCUCAAGAUGAGAUUUCCCAUAGCGCAAGCUAGUAAGAUCCCUGAAAGAUGAUCAGGUUGAUAGGUCAGAGGUGGAAGCGUGGCGACAUGUGUAGCUGACUGAUACUAAUCGAUCGAGGACUUAACC
rnacentral:rRNA from 1 species